AAACCACCCUGCCAGCCUCCCUGCUGCAGCCGGCAGCACGUCACUCCAUGCGGGAGGGGAGCCCCACCUAAGGUUCUUGGCCAUAAAAUAUGGCUUUUGGAAAAAUAAAGCUGAGACUUGGAGUUCACGGUGGGGGCUCCCCCAUCUGUGAACAGAAGCAGAAGUUUGGAACUGCCUUCUUUACUGCUCGAGAGGGAAAACUUGAGUGAAAACCAGGAUGCUGGCGAAUGUUGAGUAGCUAAGCUGCACAGGAAAUACCACUUGAUGACCUGCGAUCUGGGGAAGCCGCGCCAGGGCUCUGCGAAGCUGCGGACGAGGGAGGCGUCAGUGUGGGGGCUGCAGCUCAGCUCCGGGGGGGACGCGCCUUUCUCCACGGGACCUGGGGCUCAGGUGCUCACGAGGCUGGGGCGCUGCAGGCCACCCGCAGGGGAAACUGAGGCCCUCCAUUUUGUGGGGCUGGAAGACCUUUCCUUCCAAAAGCAGGUGUAGGCGGGAGCACCUGUGCAGUCCCUCUGUUCAGAUCCUCACCCACUUUUAAAUCAGGAAACAGCAGAUGAAAUGCACAGUGUGAAGGACAAGGAUUCUGCUGAGAGAAUUGCUCCGAGGGUUGCUCAAGUGAUCAUGGGAAAUAAUGCAUCAAACCAUUCUUUAGAUGCAGCUCAGGUGUGCCUUUUCUUCGCCUGUGCCCAUCCACCUGAGAUGGACCAUAACCAUAAAAGUCAGAAGGCACUGACCCUUCAGGACGUGACAGGGUUAAAAGAUGCUGGAGGGAAAGUCUGUCAUUGACUUUUAUUCACUUCCUUUCUCCAUUCUGCCAUUUGGAAGAAGGUAAGCAACUUAACACUAUUUUAGACCAUAUGUUGUAAACUAGCAGGAAAAUGCCUUUGAGCUGAUGAUGGUGGCCCGAACACAGUGAACCUGUCUUAAAUCCCUGCUUUAAACCCUUAAGGGUGUCACUUACAAGAGAUACUAUUUGAAGUCUUCCCAUGCAUGUGUAGGGUGGGGGGAGUACCAACAGCUCAUCGAAUGGGCUCCAUUUGAAAGAUCUGGAUGGUUGCCUUUAUUUGUAACUAGUUUCUUUUCUUUUUUUUUUU
rnacentral:lncRNA from 1 species